rnacentral:rRNA from 1 species
CAUGGGGAGCAAACAGGAUUUGGUACCCUGGUAGUCCAUGCCUUAAACAAUGAAUAUUACAUAUUGGACUGAAUAUUUUUUUAUUAUUUAAUGUCUAAUAUAGAAAGUUAACACGUUAAAUAUUUCGCCUGGGGAGUAAAACCGCAAGGUUGAAACUCAAAGGAAUUGACGGGAGCUUAUACUUACGGUGGAGCAUGUGGUUUAAUCCGAUAGUCCGCGUGGAAUCUUACCAAUUUUUGACAAGUUAUAGUUUGCUUUAUAAUACAGGUGUUGCAUGGCCGUCGUCAGCUUAUGUUUUGAAAUUUAAUAUAUAAGUACAACCCUUGUUUUAAUUUGCUAAAAUUUAAAAAGAAUAAUAUAUAUAUAUAUUAAACUAUUAAAUUUGCACUAUUAAAAUUUUUAAAUAUAUUUUAUAUUUAAAAGGAUGAAGAUAGGUCGUUAUGACCCUUAUAAAUU